rnacentral:rRNA from 1 species
UACGAAGGGGGCGAGCGUUGUUCGGAUUUACUGGGCGUAAAGGGCGCGCAGGCGGCCGCAUUUGUCAGGCGUGAAAGCCCCGGGCUUAACCUGGGAACUGCGUUUGAUACGGUGUGGCUAGAGUUCGGGAGAGGAGAGUGGAAUUCCCAGUGUAGAGGUGAAAUUCGUAGAUAUUGGGAAGAACACCGGUGGCGAAGGCGGCUCUCUGGACCGAGACUGACGCUGAGGCACGAAAGCGUGGGGAGCAAACAGG